AUUGAACGCUGGCGGCAUGCUUUACACAUGCAAGUCGAACGGUAACAGGUUAAGCUGACGAGUGGCGAACGGGUGAGUAAUGCAUCGGAACGUGCCCGAUCGUGGGGGAUAACGCAGCGAAAGCUGCGCUAAUACCGCAUACGAUCUGAGGAUGAAAGCGGGGGACCGUAAGGCCUCGCGCGAUCGGAGCGGCCGAUGUCAGAUUAGGUAGUUGGUGGGGUAAAGGCUCACCAAGCCGACGAUCUGUAGCUGGUCUGAGAGGACGACCAGCCACACUGGGACUGAGACACGGCCCAGACUCCUACGGGAGGCAGCAGUGGGGAAUUUUGGACAAAGGGCGCAAGCCUGAUCCAGCAAUGCCGCGUGCAGGAAGAAGGCCUUCGGGUUGUAAACUGCUUUUGUACGGAGCGAAAAGGCUCUCUCUAAUACAGGGGGCUCAUGACGGUACCGUAAGAAUAAGCACCGGCUAACUACGUG
rnacentral:rRNA from 1 species